UACAGAGGGGGCAAGCGUUGUUCGGAAUUACUGGGCGUAAAGGGCGCGUAGGCGGCCUUCUAAGUCGAACGUGAAAUCCCCGGGCUCAACCCGGGAACUGCGUCCGAGACUGAAAGGCUUGAAUCCGGGAGAGGGAUGUGGAAUUCCAGGUGUAGCGGUGAAAUGCGUAGAUAUCUGGAGGAACAUCGGUGGCGAAGGCGGCAGUCCUGGACCGGUAUUGACGCUGAGGCGCGAAAGCCAGGGGAGCAAAGCGGG
rnacentral:rRNA from 1 species